rnacentral:rRNA from 1 species
AUGAACGCUAGCUACAGGCUUAACACAUGCAAGUCGAGGGGCAGCAUGGUCUUAGCUUGCUAAGGCCGAUGGCGACCGGCGCACGGGUGAGUAACGCGUAUCCAACCUGCCUUACACUCUUGGACAGCCUUCUGAAAGGGAGAUUAAUACAAGAUGUUAUCAUGAGUAAGCAUUUUCGCAUGAUUAAAGGUUUACCGGUGUAAGAUGGGGAUGCGUUCCAUUAGAUAGUAGGCGGGGUAACGGCCCACCUAGUCUUCGAUGGAUAGGGGUUCUGAGAGGAAGGUCCCCCACAUUGGAACUGAGACACGGUCCAAACUCCUACGGGAGGCAGCAGUGAGGAAUAUUGGUCAAUGGACGAGAGUCUGAACCAGCCAAGUAGCGUGAAGGAUGAAGGUUCUAUGGAUUGUAAACUUCUUUUAUACGGGAAUAAACGGAUCCACGUGUGGAUUUUUGCAUGUACCGUAUGAAUAAGGAUCGGCUAACUCCGUGCCAGCAGCCGCGGUAAUACGGAGGAUCCGAGCGUUAUCCGGAUUUAUUGGGUUUAAAGGGAGCGUAGAUGGGUUGUUAAGUCAGUUGUGAAAGUUUGCGGCUCAACCGUAAAAUUGCAAUUGAUACUGGCAGUCUUGAGUACAGUUGAGGUAGGCGGAAUUCGUGGUGUAGCGGUGAAAUGCUUAGAUAUCACGAAGAACUCCGAUUGCGAAGGCAGCUUACUAACCUGUAACUGACAUUGAUGCUCGAAAGUGUGGGUAUCAAACAGGAUUAGAUACCCUGGUAGUCCACACGGUAAACGAUGAAUACUCGCUGUAGGCGAUAUACAGUCUGCGGCCAAGCGAAAGCAUUAAGUAUUCCACCUGGGGAGUACGCCGGCAACGGUGAAACUCAAAGGAAUUGACGGGGGCCCGCACAAGCGGAGGAACAUGUGGUUUAAUUCGAUGAUACGCGAGGAACCUUACCCGGGCUUGAAUUGCAACUGAAUGAUGUGGAGACAUGUCAGCCGCAAGGCAGUUGUGAAGGUGCUGCAUGGUUGUCGUCAGCUCGUGCCGUGAGGUGUCGGCUUAAGUGCCAUAACGAGCGCAACCCUUGCCGAUAGUUACUAACAGGUCAUGCUGAGGACUCUGUCGGGACUGCCAUCGUAAGAUGUGAGGAAGGUGGGGAUGACGUCAAAUCAGCACGGCCCUUACGUCCGGGGCUACACACGUGUUACAAUGGGGGGUACAGAGGGCUGCUACCACGCAAGUGGAUGCCAAUCCCAAAAACCUCUCUCAGUUCGGAUUGAAGUCUGCAACCCGACUUCAUGAAGCUGGAUUCGCUAGUAAUCGCGCAUCAGCCACGGCGCGGUGAAUACGUUCCCGGGCCUUGUACACACCGCCCGUCAAGCCAUGGGAGCCGGGGGUACCUGAAGUGCGUAACCGCAAGGAGCGCCCUAGGGUAAAACUGGUGACUGGGGCU